rnacentral:rRNA from 1 species
AUGAACACCUACGGCUUCCGCCUCCUUGACUUCACCCCCAACGCCGUUCUGACCAUGGCAGUUUUCGCACAUUUGUGCGAAAACUUUGUCGGAGUCCACCCCAAUGUUGUCCUUUUUCGCCACUUCUUCAUACCUCGGGUAGAGAGAGGAGAGCCACUUGCCGGAGGGAUCGCCUGGAUCUCGAGAGUCGGCAAGAAGGAGGCGUACUUGGAGGGUGAGCUCCGCAGCAAGUGGGAGGAGUGGAGAGCAGAGCGGUGCUGGAUCUUCGAGGAGAAUCCGCAGCCCUUCACCGCCGUGCGCCAAGCUCCAAUAGUGCGCGGCAAUGACUGGAGCAACGUGGGCAAUGACUGGAGCAAUGUGGCCCCGGAAGACGAGAGGCUGAAGAUCGCCAUUACUAGGAUCCUUCGCCUCAGGCUUGCCGGGCUCACUAUAGGCGAUGUAGGCGCAGAUUUCCUCCGCCGCCGCAUCGCCCCCCUGCAGGAGAGGGGGAGGCCCGCCUAG